rfam:Human rhinovirus 72 VP1 capsid protein gene, partial cds.
GGUUUGAAUGACGAGUUAGAGGAAGUCAUCGUCGAGAAAACGAAACAGACGUUGGCUUCAAUUUCAUCCGGGCCAAAAUACACUCA